rnacentral:rRNA from 1 species
GUAGGGGGCAAGCGUUAUCCGGAUUUACUGGGUGUAAAGGGAGCGUAGGCGGCUUAGUAAGUCAGAAGUGAAAGCCCGCAGCUCAACUGCGGGACUGCUUUUGAAACUGCCAGGCUAGAGUGUCGGAGAGGUAAGUGGAAUUCCUAGUGUAGCGGUGAAAUGCGUAGAUAUUAGGAGGAACACCAGUGGCGAAGGCGGCUUACUGGACAGUAACUGACGUUGAGGCUCGAAAGCGUGGGGAGCAAA